CAUACAUGUUGGGAAGCUGGAGUUUUGGUUUCUGUGGGGCUGCUUUUCUUGUCUCUAGUUAUCCACUAGAUGGAGCCAGGAAGCUGUGUUGUCCAGAGGGCGGUCUCAGGUGUUCAGCCAUCACACCUGCAGCCUAUCUGUCAUCAGCCAGUGUUUAAGAGAAGCCUGUCACCAGUCCUUCGAUGCCUGAGUGUUGCCGUUCAUGGUUCUCAGCGGCUGUUACCUUUGUGCCUUAUGAGUUUUAUCGUUUCACCUCCAAGAUUCUUCAUAAAGAAACCCCUGGUUCAUAAAUCCCUACGACUGGUUCUUCUGGCUGUUCAAGUCUGUGCUACAACCUGUCCGCCCUCCAAUGAAGUACAACUAACAAACCCUCAUCGCCGCCCAUUCUCUCUGGAUCUCCUGGCUUCAGUUCCAACCCCACCUGGACCCGACACUCACCCUAGAAACCAAGUUCAGCACCAGCAGAAUACCUCCCCCUGGUGGAUCAGUUCCAUUUCACUAAAUCCAGAUCUCCAGCUGUCCCAUACCCCGGGCAAAGAAGAUACAUUCAAACUCUUUUUACAAUAAACUUUAUUUAACUGACA